AACGUAGGUGGCAAGCGUUAUCCGGAAUACUGGCGUAAGCGCACGCAGGCGGUCUUUUAAGUUUGACGUGAAAGCUCCCGGCUUAACUGGGAGAGGUCGUUGAAUACUGGAAGACUUGAGGCAAUGAGAGGGGUGUAGAAUUCCCGGUGUAGUGGUGGAAUGCGUAGAUAUCGGGGGGAAUACCAGUGGCGAAAGCGGCACCCUAGCGUUAGCCUGACGCUCAUGUGCGAAAGCGUGGGGAGCGAACGGG
rnacentral:rRNA from 1 species